UACGAAGGGGGCUAGCGUUGCUCGGAAUUACUGGGCGUAAAGCGCACGUAGGCGGCUUCUUAAGUCGGAGGUGAAAUCCUGGAGCUCAACUCCAGAACUGCCUUUGAUACUGAAGAUCUUGAGUUCGGGAGAGGUGAGUGGAACUGCGAGUGUAGAGGUGAAAUUCGUAGAUAUUCGCAAGAACACCAGUGGCGAAGGCGGCUCACUGGCCCGAUACUGACGCUGAUGCACGAAAGCGUGGGGAGCAAACAGG
rnacentral:rRNA from 1 species